rnacentral:misc_RNA from 1 species
AACCAUUCUCACCUGCGGCUAGACCUGCGGAGGGAUCAUUACAAGUGACCCCGGUUUACCACCGGGAUGUUCAUAACCCUUUGUUGUCCGACUCUGUUGCCUCCGGGGCGACCCUGCCUUCGGGCGGGGGCUCCGGGUGGACACUUCAAACUCUUGCGUAACUUUGCAGUCUGAGUAAACUUAAUUAAUAAAUUAAAACUUUUAACAAUGGAUCU